rnacentral:lncRNA from 1 species
UGUGAUGUAUGUGAUGCGGGUUCAUGUGUGCCCACAUGAACCAUAUGAUGCUAAUGUUUGCUUGUGAUGUGUACUGUUUUUCAAAAAACAGGAUGAGGGGAACUCGUCGAUCAGCAAGAUUGACUGGAGUACCACCUGAGGAUGAUGGCAUGAGCGCCCGUCCUCCAGCAUUGCCGAGGGCAAUGUCUAGUAGGUCUAGCAGAGAAAGAGCAGUAAGAGACCCUAGAAGGUCUCUGGAUCUGGGUAGAAGCAGAUCAGUCAGAGGAACAGUUC